rnacentral:other from 1 species
ACUGUUCUGCCCUGUUCGCGGACGCCGUCUUAUAUAACCCUACAACCUUUUAAAAGGGAGCUUUGCUCGUUCAGUGGGAUUGCAGACCUCCCGCGGCUGUGCCGAGUUCGGAAGAAGGGAGCGCGAAGCUGUACGGCGGGCACCCACCUGCGUUUUUGCAGGUUAUUUUAAGCGCAUUACGGCAGGGUGGAACGAGA